GACGAACCGUACGAACGUUAUUCGGAAUUACUGGGCUUAAAGGGUGCGUAGGCGGCGCAGUAAGUUGGGUGUGAAAUCCCUCGGCUUAACCGAGGAAUUGCGCCCAAAACUACUGUGCUCGAGGGAGAUAGAGGUGAGCGGAACUUAGGGUGGAGCGGUGAAAUGCGUUGAUAUCCUAAGGAACACCGGUGGCGAAAGCGGUCGACUGGUCGAGUUCUGACACUGAGGCGCGACGGCGUGGGGAGCAAACCGG
rnacentral:rRNA from 1 species